UUUUUGAAUUUAAUUUAAAGUAAGACCUGCCCACUGAGUUUUGAAGGGCCGCAGUAUUUUGACUGUGCAAAGGUAGCAUAAUCAUUAGUUUUUUAAUUGAAAGCUGGAAUGAAGGGUUAAAUGAAAAAUUGACUUUUUUAGUUAUAAAAUUAAAAUUUUAUUUUUAAGUUAAAAAGCUUAAAUGAAAGUAUUAGACGAGAAGACCCUAUAGAGUUUAAUUUUAAUUAAUUUUAAAUUUAUAGAAUUAAAUAUUUUUAAUAAAAUUAAAAUUUAAUUGGGGUGAUUAAAAAAUUUAAUAAACUUUUUUAUAUUUUUACAUAGAUAAGUGAAAGUUUGAUCCAUUAAUGAUUAAAAGAUAAAAUUACCUUAGGGAUAACAGCGUUAUAUUUUUUGAAAGUUCAAAUUUUAAAAAAAGUUUGCGACCUCGAUGUUGGAUUAAAAUUUAUUAUGGUGUAGAAGCUAUAAAAGUUGGUCUGUUCGACCAUUAAAAUUUUACA
rnacentral:rRNA from 1 species